CACGUAGGCGGACUCUUAAGUCGGUGGUGAAAUCCUGGAGCUCAACUCCAGAACUGCCUUCGAUACUGAGAGUCUCGAGUCCGAGAGAGGUGAGUGGAACUACGAGUGUAGAGGUGAAAUUCGUAGAUAUUCGCAAGAACACCAGUGGCGAAGGCGGCUCACUGGCUCGGUACUGACGCUGAGGUGCGAAGCGUGGGAGCAAACA
rnacentral:rRNA from 1 species